GACGAACGCUGGCGGCGUGCCUAAUACAUGCAAGUUGAGCGCUGAAGGUUUGUACUUGUACCCACUGGAUUAGCAGCUAACGGGUGAGUAACGCGUGGGGAAUCUGCCUUUGAUCGGUGGACAACAUUUGGAAACGACUGCUAAUACCGCAUAAAAACUUUAAACACAAGUUUUAAGUUUGAAAGAUGCAAUUGCAUCACUCAUGGAUGAUCCCGCGUUGUAUUAGCUAGUUGGUUAGGUAAAGGCUCACCAAGGCGAUGAUACAUAGCCGACCUGAGAGGGUGAUCGGGCAAAAUGGGAAUGGGACACGGCCCAAAAUCCUAAGGGAGGCAGCAGUAGGGAAACUUCGGAAAAGGAGGAAAGUCUGACCGAGCAACGACGGGUGAGUGAAGAAGGGUCUCGGAUCGGAAAACUCUGUUGGUAGAGAAGAAAGAUGGUGAGAGUGGAAAGCUCAUGAAGUGACGGUAACUAAACAGAAAGGGACGGCUAACUACGUG
rnacentral:rRNA from 1 species